CAGAUCUAGCCUGUGGUCUUCAGAGAACACUGCCGUGUGUUCUUUGUCGAGAGCCUAAGACCUUGUACAAAGAUGCAGGUCCACAGGAACUACCAUGAUAAAUAUUAGGGUAAAUUAAUAAACGGUUUCUGAGGUGGUGUGGAGCCAGCCUGUCCUUGCACGUUGGAAAUAUUUCUGGUUGUAAUGAGGCAAAGCAUUGAUAAUUCUUCUUCCUUUCUUCAAUUCAACGUGAGAGAAAGCCCUUUGUGCCAGAUGGAGUCAGUGGAACCAAAAACGAAGAGGGCUUGUGGGACGGUGUUCACAAAGUCUGCAGUGGUGUGCAGCAGUGUCCUGGGCUUUCACACUCUGCCACUGACUCACCAACUCAGAGCAUCUUCCAGUCCUGCAGGCUCCAUUCACAGUGAGCACCCUACCCGGCUAGGAAGACCCCGUAAAACAGCCCGGGAAGAGGAGACGUGUGCCAGGCCAGAUAAGAGAUUGGAAGCAGACGGUCGAGGAGAGCAGGUGUCCAGCUCUUUGGGGUGCCCACCCUUCCCCCUCUGGAGGACAGGGGUUUAAAGACUCACAAGGGCAGAACCCCGAUGAAGAUGGAGGGAGCCCAGGCCCCAUGGAGAGACCGUGCCGAGGUGUUCAGCCGAGUCCCAGCUUCCUCCACCGCUGGACAUGGGAGGGAGGAGGCCUCAGGACAGCUCCUGCCCAAGCCACUGCCUGGCCACAGCCGCACGAGGGCUCCAGGAUGAGAACCGACUAGCUGAGCCCAGUCAACCCCUGGAAUCCCGAGAAGUAAUAAUAAUAACAAUAACAGACCGUGGUUUAACACCAUUGGGUUGGGGUGACUUGUUGAGAAGCACUAGAGACCUAGAUCACUGGUCACUUAAACAUGACUUUUGGCUGUUUGUAUGGUCAUGAGAACCAUAAGCCAUGCCCCUUGGAGAGGCUUGAAGUGCCACCGCCAGCUGGAGGUGGGUGGUGGCUCCAGGUGGUGGCAGCGUCCUACCCAACCUGCAUGCCAGGCCUCAGGACUACCAGGGAGCUGGCACUAUGGGAUUCCUCUGGCGGGGCCCCUCACCGGGGGAGGCAUUGGCUGUCUGGCCCUUGGGGAGCGACCCACCCUUCCACCUCCGGCAGACCUGGGAAGAUAUCCAGGGCCAGCUGUGUGCUUUGGAAAGCUACUUCUCAGCUCUCUCUCCUGUGCAGAGGUAUAAGAUUAACCUCCGGUUUUACACUCUGGAAAUCCAAGUAUCAUAUAAGGUUCAGUGUUUUUCAGGUGCAAGUUCUUUAUUUGGCUCUUAGCA